GAUGAACGCUAGCUACAGGCUUAACACAUGCAAGUCGCGGGGCAGCAUGGGGGUUGCUUGCAAUCCCCGAUGGCGACCGGCGCACGGGUGAGUAACGCGUAUCCAACCUGCCCUUCACCACGGGAUAACCCGGCGAAAGUCGGACUAAUACCGUAUGUUGUCCAUUGACGGCAUCCGAUUUGGACGAAAGGGUUGGCGGUGAAGGAUGGGGAUGCGUCCGAUUAGCUGGACGGCGGGGUGACGGCCCACCGUGGCGACGAUCGGUAGGGGUUCUGAGAGGAAGGUCCCCCACACUGGAACUGAGACACGGUCCAGACUCCUACGGGAGGCAGCAGUGAGGAAUAUUGGUCAAUGGGCGUAAGCCUGAACCAGCCAAGUAGCGUGCAGGAUGACGGCCCUAUGGGUUGUAAACUGCUUUUAUGCGGGGAUAAAGUGGCCCACGUGUGGGUUUUUGCAGGUACCGCAUGAAUAAGGACCGGCUAAUUCCGUG
rnacentral:rRNA from 1 species